rnacentral:rRNA from 1 species
UACGUAGGUGGCAAGCGUUGUCCGGAUUUACUGGGCGUAAAGAGCGCGCAGGCGGUCGUUCAAGUCGCGUGUGAAAGCCCCCGGCUCAACUGGGGAGGGUCACGCGAUACUGAUCGACUCGAAGGCAGGAGAGGGAAGUGGAAUUCCCGGUGUAGUGGUGAAAUGCGUAGAUAUCGGGAGGAACACCAGUGGCGAAGGCGACUUACUGGACACAUAUUGACGCUGAGGUGCGAAAGCGUGGGGAGCAAACAGG